UUCUUUCUAUCCUCCUUUUUCUUUUUCAAGUAUGUAUCUUUCUUUUCAUUGUAAUUUCCCUAUAUAAAAAAAAAUAUUUCUUAUAAUAUAGAUUUAUUUUAAGUUAAGUCCCAAGUGUGAAAAAUUCGUAUUAUCUAUUCCCCUCAAUUUUCAUGAGCCAUAAAAAAAAUUUAACACACCCAAUAAGUAUAAAGGUCGCUUAUUUUAUAAAACUUGAGUGAAAUUAAGAC
rnacentral:lncRNA from 1 species